rnacentral:rRNA from 1 species
AAACGUAGGAGACGAGCGUUAUCCGGAUUUACUGGGCGUAAAGCGCGUGCAGGCGGCAUGGCAAGUUGGAUGUGAAAGCUCCCGGCUUAACUGGGAGAGGUCGUUCAAUACUGCCAGGCUUGAGAGUGGUAGAGGGAAGCGGAAUUCCGGGUGUAGUGGUGAAAUGCGUAGAUAUCCGGAGGAACACCAGUGGCGAAGGCGGCCUUCUAGGCUGUAUCUGACGCUCAGACACGAAAGCUAGGGUAGC